rnacentral:rRNA from 1 species
UGCAGUCGAACGAUGAUCCGGUGCUUGCACCGGGGAUUAGUGGCGAACGGGUGAGUAACACGUGAGUAACCUGCCCUUAACUCUGGGAUAAGCCUGGGAAACUGGGUCUAAUACCGGAUAUGACUCCUCAUCGCAUGGUGGGGGGUGGAAAGCUUUUUGUGGUUUUGGAUGGACUCGCGGCCUAUCAGCUUGUUGGUGAGGUAAUGGCUCACCAAGGCGACGACGGGUAGCCGGCCUGAGAGGGUGACCGGCCACACUGGGACUGAGACACGGCCCAGACUCCUACGGGAGGCAGCAGUGGGGAAUAUUGCACAAUGGGCGAAAGCCUGAUGCAGCGACGCCGCGUGAGGGAUGACGGCCUUCGGGUUGUAAACCUCUUUCAGUAGGGAAGAAGCGAAAGUGACGGUACCUGCAGAAGAAGCGCCGGCUAACUACGUGCCAGCAGCCGCGGUAAUACGUAGGGCGCAAGCGUUAUCCGGAAUUAUUGGGCGUAAAGAGCUCGUAGGCGGUUUGUCGCGUCUGCCGUGAAAGUCCGGGGCUCAACUCCGGAUCUGCGGUGGGUACGGGCAGACUAGAGUGAUGUAGGGGAGACUGGAAUUCCUGGUGUAGCGGUGAAAUGCGCAGAUAUCAGGAGGAACACCGAUGGCGAAGGCAGGUCUCUGGGCAUUAACUGACGCUGAGGAGCGAAAGCAUGGGGAGCGAACAGGAUUAGAUACCCUGGUAGUCCAUGCCGUAAACGUUGGGCACUAGGUGUGGGGGACAUUCCACGUUUUCCGCGCCGUAGCUAACGCAUUAAGUGCCC